rnacentral:rRNA from 1 species
GACGAACGCUGGCGGCGUGCUUAACACAUGCAAGUCGAACGGAAAGGCCCUGCUUUUGUGGGGUGCUCGAGUGGCGAACGGGUGAGUAACACGUGAGUAACCUGCCCUUGACUUUGGGAUAACUUCAGGAAACUGGGGCUAAUACCGGAUAGGAGCUCCUGCUGCAUGGUGGGGGUUGGAAAGUUUGGGCGGUUGGGGAUGGACUCGCGGCUUAUCAGCUUGUUGGUGGGGUAGUGGCUUACCAAGGCUUUGACGGGUAGCCGGCCUGAGAGGGUGACCGGCCACGUGGGGACUGAGAUACGGCCCGGACGCCUCCGGGGGGCAGCAGGGGGGAAGGGUGCGCAGGGGGCGGAAGCCGGAUGCAGCACCGCCGCGUGCGGGGUGAGGGCCUUCGGGUGGUAAACCGAUGUCAGUAGGGACGAAGCGCAAGUGACGGUACCUACAGAAGAAGCAGCGGCCAACUACGU